rnacentral:lncRNA from 1 species
AGUUACUCCACUCCCGGUUCAAUUAAUGGGUCUUUCCCCUUCAAGAUGGCAUGUUUCUCAUGGUGCUUUGACUCUUAUAGUUUAAAAAAAAAACUCAGAAGCAUGAAGGAAUGUCUGCAGUGCAUUUCUCUUGUGGUUAGUCCACCAUGGCCAGAUAUUUUGAAACUCUGUGAAGCAAGGAUUAGAAAAAAGAUUCAAAAUACAUUCCAAGGAGCAGAUCCUUCUGUGGUAACACUGCAUUCCAAAUGUGUGAAAAAGACAGGGAAAAACACGAACUGCCAUAAAUUACGGCUAAAGAAACAUCAAGAGCAGAAGACCGUUGAGAGGAAAAAGUCAAUAAUAAGUAUCUACAGAACCUCUCAGUAUCAAGAAAACAUACACCUGCACUUCCGCAGCUGGUGA